GACGACGCUGGCGGCGUGCUUAAACACAUGCAAGUCGAACGGUGACGAGGAGCUUGCUCCUCUGAUCAGUGCGAACGGGUGAGUAACACGUGAGCAACCUGCCCCAGACUCUGGGAUAACAGUUGGAAACAGCUGCUAAUACCGGAUACGAGACGGAGAGGCAUCUCUACCGUCUGGAAAGUUUUUCGGUCUGGGAUGGACUCGCGGCCUAUCAGCUAGUUGGUGAGGUAAUGGCUCACCAAGGCGACGACGGGUAGCCGGCCUGAGAGGGCGACCGGCCACACUGGGACUGAGACACGGCCCAGACUCCUACGGGAGGCAGCAGUGGGGAAUAUUGCACAAUGGGCGAAAGCCUGAUGCAGCGACGCCUCGUGAGGGAUUUGACGGCCUUCGGGUUGUAAACCUCUUUCAGCAGGGAAGAAGCGAAAGUGACGGUACCUGCAGAAGAAGCACCGGCUAACUACGUG
rnacentral:rRNA from 1 species